rnacentral:rRNA from 1 species
GCUUUUCACCAUUCCAGAUUGAAUAUACCCGAUCUCGUCUGAUCUCGGAAGUCAAGCAAUCUCGGGCUUGGUUAGUACUUGGAUGUGUGACAGCUUGGGAAUACCAAGUGUGAUAAGCA